rnacentral:miRNA from 1 species
CUCUCCUGCCAGCAUCUGUGUGAUAUGUUUGAUAUUGGGUUGUUUAACUAGAAAUCAACUAAAUGUCAAACAUUCUUACAGCAGUUGGCGAUUCAGCAUUACACUCUUUC